rnacentral:rRNA from 1 species
GACGAACGCUGGCGGCGUGCCUAAUACAUGCAAGUUGAGCGCUGAAGGUUGGUACUUGUACCAACUGGAUGAGCAGCGAACGGGUGAGUAACGCGUGGGGAAUCUGCCUUUGAGCGGGGGACAACAUUUGGAAACGAAUGCUAAUACCGCAUAAAAACUUGAAACAAAAGUUUUAAGUUUGAAAGAUGCAAUUGCAUCACUCAAAGAUGAUCCCGCGUUGUAUUAGCUAGUUGGUGAGGUAAAGGCUCACCAAGGCGAUGAUACAUAGCCGACCUGAGAGGGUGAUCGGCCACAUUGGGACUGAGACACGGCCCAAACUCCUACGGGAGGCAGCAGUAGGGAAUCUUCGGCAAUGGACGAAAGUCUGACCGAGCAACGCCGCGUGAGUGAAGAAGGUUUUCGGAUCGUAAAACUCUGUUGGUAGAGAAGAACGUUGGUGAGAGUGGAAAGCUCAUCAAGUGACGGUAACUACCCAGAAAGGGACGGCUAACUACGUG